rnacentral:rRNA from 1 species
CCUGACGACCAUAGAGCUUUGGAACCACCUGAUCCCAUCCCGAACUCAGAAGUGAAACGAAGCAUCGCCGAUGG